CUCUGGCUGAGGCUUAGUAGUGAUAUUUACAUCUUCAGAAAGUUUUGCCAUCAUGAGAGUAGAAAAAAAAAUUCCUUCCCUAUGGCGUUCUGUCUUCCUCUGAGGUGGGGUCACUAGAUGCACAAUUUUGAUUUUCAGCUUAAAAGGUCCUGUUGCUUUGUGGCUGGCUGAGUAAUCCUCAGUCACACAGACCUAUUGUCCCACUUGAACUCACUAUAAAUGGAGAGUAAGCUCCUUCCAUGAGCUCCUUAAUUUCCACGGAGGCUGAAACAACUCCCUGGCAACUGUGGUCCAGCUUUGCAUCCAUGCAGGGGAAUUUGCAAGGCCGGUCCCCACCCCCACCCCAGGCACACAAAAAAGCUUCUAUUUUUUUUCAGAGAUUACAUGGUGGGCAGAGAAAGAGCAGCUGAAACACGUGACGGGUGACACGGUGUGAAUAGCUGUGCUGCGCCGGCACUCUGGAGUGGGAGGAGAAAGGCAUAGCCUAGGAGUCAGCGGUGGAAGAGAAAGCUUAUUGGCUCAGAUUGAGGAAGACAUCUAAGUCAAUGGAGAAAACACCACUAACGGCUGAGGCCUUCAUCCUUGCACUAGAAGCUACAUUAUCUCCAGCUUUCAGCCCUUUGAACUACAUCACCAGCUUUCCUGAAUUUUACAGAGGGCAGAUCAUGGGACUUCUCAGCCUCUAAACUCAUGUCUGGAGGUCAGAAGGCCAAAAAAUGGGUCUCGCUGAGCUACAAUCAAGGUGUCAUCAGGCUGUGUCCUUUCCUGGAGGUUCUAGAAGAGAAUCGUAUCCUUGCUCUUUUCCCACUUCCAGAGGCUGCCACAUUCCUUGACUUGUGGCUCCUCCGUCUGUCUUCAAAGCCAGAGACAGAUGGUGAAUGGAGUCCUUUCACAUGGCUCACUCUGCCCUUGCUCCUGUCGUCACAUUCCCUUCUUUGUCUAACUUUUCUGCCUCCUUUCUCCACUCUUGUCAUUACCUUGGGCCCAUCUGAAAAUCCAGAAUCAUCCCCCAAAUUAAAGUCAGUGGACUAGCAACUUUAAUUCCACCUGCAACCUUAUUUCCCUUCCACCAUGAGCCUAACCUCACCACGAGUGUCAGGGAUUUGCACAUGGACAUCUUCGGGAACCCCUUCAUGAGUGGUUGGGGGGAUGUGGCCAGAAAGACGGCAGCAGCAGGAUGCGAGGGAACUCUGCAGCUGCGCUGAGGCAUCUGAGAGCCAAG
rnacentral:lncRNA from 13 species